rnacentral:misc_RNA from 1 species
CCCCCCCCCCACCCCCUAAUGCCCCUGUUGUCAAGCUUCUCUUAUUAAGUUCACCUUAUUUCAGCAAGAUUUAUUCUCUCUCUAGAAACAGACCCAUCAAUGGAAACCUUACCAAAACCUCAAGAAUUUCACAGCCCAUGUCUAAUUUCAUCACCAGAUAGCCAUAGCUCCAACAGUUCAAGCUGUAGCAAUAGCAGCAAUUCUAACCACCACCACAACAAUGGUCUUCACCAACAUCACCGCCGCUACCCAACACCACCCACUACCCCAACGCCUACUACACCACAACCACUACCACCACAACUACCCAUCACCAGAUCCGAACCGAACAACCCAUACCCGACUACCUUCGUUCAAGCUGACGCUUCGUCUUUCAAACAGGUAGUUCAAAUGCUUACUGGGUCCUCUGAAACCGCCAAGGUUGGUGCUAAUUCGGGCCGGACCGAGCCCGUUAGGAAUCCGAUCCCUCCAAUUAAAACUGGAACUAAGAAGGAGAAAUCAAGUUCAAAGCUGUAUGAGAGAAGGAACAGCAUGAAGAAUUUCAAAAUUAGCCCAUUGGGUCCUGGGGUUGUCAAUAAAUCUAUUUUCUCUGCUGGGUUUUCGGGUUCUCCGAGAACUGCAACGCCAGAGAUUCUGUCCCCGAGCAUUCUCGAUUUUCCGGCGCUGGCGCUUAGCCCGGUAACCCCUCUCAUACCCGACCCGUUUAACCGGUCGCCUCACAGUGCUGCAAGUACCGAGAAUUUGGAUUUGGAGGCAGAAGAGAAAGCAAUUGCCACAAAAGGGUUCUUUUUGCAUCCAUCGCCGGCGAGUACUCCAAGGGAAUCGGAGCCCCGCCUUUUGCCCUUGUUUCCA